CGAACGCACACGGACGCACGGCGCGCGCACCGUCUCCAGCCCGCGUCGGAAGUUGUCGGGUUUCGGUGUGUUCGGCGCUCCGCGAGUCAGUCCACUCUGUACCGUUCCACUCGCCUCCGAACGCGGACCGCCGCCGCAGUCGUAAAUUACCGCCAGCACGUGGCCCACAGCCACAGUCGUCCGACAAUAACAAUACAUGCCCGCCGCGUAUUUAUUCAUUACGCAUUAUCGUGAAUAAUAUCGUUAUCGUUCCGCCGCGCGUAUUUUAAUAACAAAAUAUUAUUAUGCCGUCGCGCGAGUGAUUUUUUUUUUUUAAAUUUUUUUUUUUUUUUUUUUCCG